AGAGUUUGAUCCUGGCUCAGGAUGAACGCUAGCGGCAGGCUUAACACAUGCAAGUCGAGGGGUAACAGAGUAGCUUGCUACUGCUGACGACCGGCGCACGGGUGCGUAACGCGUAUACAAUCUACCUUAUACUGGGGUAUAGCCUUUAGAAAUGAAGAUUAACCCCCCAUAGUCUCUAAGAGUGGCAUCACAUUUAGAGUAAAGGUUACGGUAUAAGAUGAGUAUGCGUUCUAUUAGUUUGUUGGUGAGGUAACGGCUUACCAAGACUACGAUAGAUAGGGGCCCUGAGAGGGGGAUCCCCCACACUGGUACUGAGACACGGACCAGACUCCUACGGGAGGCAGCAGUGAGGAAUAUUGGACAAUGGAGGCAACUCUGAUCCAGCCAUGCCGCGUGUAGGAUGACUGCCCUAUGGGUUGUAAACUACUUUUAUACAGGAAGAAACACCUCUACGUGUAGAGGCUUGACGGUACUGUAAGAAUAAGGAUCGGCUAACUCCGUGCCAGCAGCCGCGGUAAUACGGAGGAUCCAAGCGUUAUCCGGAAUCAUUGGGUUUAAAGGGUCCGUAGGUGGAUAAUUAAGUCAGAGGUGAAAUCUUGCAGCUCAACUGUAAAAUUGCCUUUGAAACUGGUUAUCUUGAGUUAUUAUGAAGUAGUUAGAAUAUGUAGUGUAGCGGUGAAAUGCAUAGAUAUUACAUAGAAUACCAAUUGCGAAGGCAGAUUACUAAUAAUCAACUGACACUGAUGGACGAAAGCGUGGGUAGCGAACAGGAUUAGAUACCCUGGUAGUCCACGCCGUAAACGAUGGUUACUAGCUGUUUGGACUUCGGUCUGAGUGGCUAAGCGAAAGUGAUAAGUAACCCACCUGGGGAGUACGUUCGCAAGAAUGAAACUCAAAGGAAUUGACGGGGGCCCGCACAAGCGGUGGAGCAUGUGGUUUAAUUCGAUGAUACGCGAGGAACCUUACCAGGGCUUAAAUGUAAGUUGCAUUAGUUAGAGAUAGCUAUUUCUUCGGACCACUUACAAGGUGCUGCAUGGUUGUCGUCAGCUCGUGCCGUGAGGUGUCAGGUUAAGUCCUAUAACGAGCGCAACCCCUGUUGUUAGUUGCCAGCGAGUCAUGUCGGGAACUCUAACAAGACUGCCAGUGCAAACUGUGAGGAAGGUGGGGAUGACGUCAAAUCAUCACGGCCCUUACGUCCUGGGCUACACACGUGCUACAAUGGUAGGGACAGAGAGCAGCCACUGGGCGACCAGGAGCGAAUCUAUAAACCCUAUCACAGUUCGGAUCGGAGUCUGCAACUCGACUCCGUGAAGCUGGAAUCGCUAGUAAUCGGAUAUCAGCCAUGAUCCGGUGAAUACGUUCCCGGGCCUUGUACACACCGCCCGUCAAGCCAUGGAAGUUGGAAGUGCCUGAAGUCCGUCACCGCAAGGAGCGGCCUAGGGUAAAGUCGAUAACUAGGGCUAAGUCGUAACAAGGUA
rnacentral:rRNA from 1 species